rnacentral:rRNA from 1 species
GGAGGGUGCGAGCGUUAAUCGGAAUUACUGGGCGUAAAGCGCGCGUAGGUGGUCUGUUAAGUCGGAUGUGAAAGCCCCGGGCUCAACCUGGGAACUGCAUCCGAUACUGGCAGACUAGAGUGCGGGAGAGGGAGGUAGAAUUCCACGUGUAGCGGUGAAAUGCGUAGAUAUGUGGAGGAAUACCAGUGGCGAAGGCGGCCUCCUGGCUCGACACUGACGCUGAGGUGCGAAAGCGUGGGGAGCAAACGGGAUUAGAUACCCCGGUAGUCCACGCCGUAAACGAUGUCUACUAGCUGUAGGGGUACUUGAGACCUUUGUAGCGCAGCUAACGCAAUAAGUAGACCGCCUGGGGAGUACGGCCGCAAGGUUAAAACUCAAAUGAAUUGACGGGGGCCCGCACAAGCAGUGGAGCAUGUGGUUUAAUUCGAUGCAACGCGAAGAACCUUACCA